rnacentral:tRNA from 1 species
GGGGGUGCAGCCCAGGGGUAGAGCACAUGUUUGGCAUUUGUGAGGUCCUGGGUUUAAUCCCUAGCACCCCCC